AAUAGAUACCCUGGUAGUCCACGCCGUAAACGAUGAGUGCUAAGUGUUAGAGGGUUUCCGCCCUUUAGUGCUGCAGCUAACGCAUUAAGCACUCCGCCUGGGGAGUACGGCCGCAAGGCUGAAACUCAAAGGAAUUGACGGGGGCCCGCACAAGCGGUGGAGCAUGUGGUUUAAUUCGAAGCAACGCGAAGAACCUUACCAGGUCUUGACAUCCUCUGCCAACCCUAGAGAUAGGGCGUUCCCCUUCGGGGGACAGAGUGACAGGUGGUGCAUGGUUGUCGUCAGCUCGUGUCGUGAGAUGUUGGGUUAAGUCCCGCAACGAGCGCAACCCUUGAUCUUAGUUGCCAGCAUUCAGUUGGGCACUCUAAGGUGACUGCCGGUGACAAACCGGAGGAAGGUGGGGAUGACGUCAAAUCAUCAUGCCCCUUAUGGCCUGGGCUACACACGUGCUACAAUGGAUGGUACAAAGAGCUGCGAACCCGCGAGGGUAAGCCAAUCUCAUAAAGCCAUUCUCAGUUCGGAUUGUAGG
rnacentral:rRNA from 1 species